UACAGAGGGUGCGAGCGUUGUUCGGAAUUACUGGGCGUAAAGCGCGCGCAGGCGGCCCUUUAAGUCUGUCGGUCAAACGCCGGGGCUCAACCCCGUGCUCGCCGGAGAUACUGGAGGGCUGGAGACACGUAGAGGCAAGCGGAAUUCCGGGUGUAGCGGUGGAAUGCGUAGAGAUCCGGAAGAACACCGGAGGCGAAGGCGGCUUGCUGGGCGUAGUCUGACGCUGAGGCGCGAAAGCGUGGGGAGCGAACAGG
rnacentral:rRNA from 1 species